CAUCUGGGGUGCAACUGACGCUGAGGCUCGAAAGUGCGGGUAUCAAACAGGAUUAGAUACCCUGGUAGUCCGCACAGUAAACGAUGAAUACUCGCUGUCGGCGAUACACGGUCGGCGGCCAAGCGAAAGCAUUAAGUAUUCUACCUGGGGAGUACGCCGGCAACGGUGAAACUCAAAGGAAUUGACGGGGGCCCGCACAAGCGGAGGAACAUGUGGUUUAAUUCGAUGAUACGCGAGGAACCUUACCCGGGCUUGAACUGCACCCGACGGACAGGGAGAUUUGUCUUCCGCAAGGCGGGUGUGGAGGUGCUGCAUGGUUGUCGUCAGCUCGUGCCGUGAGGUGUCGGCUUAAGUGCCAUAACGAGCGCAACCCUUCUCUUCAGUUGCCAUCAGGUAGAGCUGGGCACUCUGGAGACACUGCCAUCGUAAGAUGCGAGGAAGGUGGGGAUGACGUCAAAUCAGCACGGCCUUGACGUUCGGUGCGACCCACGUCUUACAACGGUGGUACAGAAGGCCGCGACCGGGCGACGGGAAGCCAAUCCCCAAAUCCUCUGUCAGUUCGGACUGGACUCUGCAACCCGACUGAACGAAGCUGAUUCG
rnacentral:rRNA from 1 species